AGGGACAAGAUGGCCUUCUGAUGACAGAGACAGACGAGAAUAACACAGCUGCAAACCAGGGAAUGCCAGGGAUUGUGGCCACCACCAGAAGCUUGCAAAAGAACAGAGUGAUCUGUGAGAUCUUCCCGCUACUCCCAUGUCGGGAGAGAGAGAGAAUGAAGACCCAUUGCUGUAGAGGAACAAACUGAACGUGUUGAAGGUCCUGCAAGGCCAGUGUGGCUGGAACGCAGACACAACGCCAGGAGGAACAGGAGAUGGCGCUGAAAAGAGAGGCAGGAGUCAGAUCUCAAGGGAACUGUCACUGCAGUGUUGCAGACCUCUUUGAAUACACCAUGAGCACUGUGGAUUCUCGCCUCUGGAAAAUAAAAAUCACAUACAGAAAAAUUCAGACUACUUUUUAAGGAGUUUGAAGAAUCCCUGCUAGUCAUGGACCCAUUUGGGGUUGAUGGGUUCCUGACCAUGACUCCUUGGAUUCGGAAGUCAUAUAAGAUGCAGUUUAACAAACAUUGGAAAACAAACGAGCAUUCUGAGAGCAAACAGCAUCUUCUAUAUAUCAUCUUCUAGAAUAUCUCAGAUCUGGAUGAGGUCACAGGAAUGUCCAUUCAUAGGGAGCUCUUCCUGGAGCUCAGAGAUCAUUGAGAGAGGGUAAUCAUCAUGGAUGUGUACAAGUGAAGGUAGUUUGAAAAGAAACAAAGUUAUCCUUUUUUUCCUUUACUAAAAAUCUUAGGGUCCCCAUUAGCAGGAAGGAAGGAAGAGGACAGGUGAGCUCCCUGGUAUUGAUGUAUUUAGAGAACCUAGGCAUCAGCCAUGCAUACAGAGGACACUCAUUUGGCUGGAAUUCGGGCAUUGACUUUAAUUAAAUUCCUUUGCUCCCAAUAAGACCUCUCUUAAUCUGAAAACAAUUUGUCAUAAGUGAUGUAUCUGCCAAGACCUCACGGCAAAGGGGCAGGGGUACCUAGGAAAUGUUGCUGGCAAAGUCCAGAGUGAUUCUAAAGGGACAGUGGCUUCCUUUGGAUGGUCAUGUGCUGGACAUAGCAAUCAGAAGGACAGUCGUGAACACCCAGGAGUGAACCAAGAUGCAAAGUUCAAGUCCAAGGGAAGAAGGGUGCAGUGUGGAAGAAGGGAAGGCAGAUGCUGCAGCCUACAAGCAAGGUGGGAGCCAUUAAGAGCCCCAAGCUGGCCGAGCACUGUGGCACACGCCUGUAAUCCUAAUCCCAGCACUUUGGGAAGCCAAGGUGGACGGAUCACCUGAGGUCGGAAGUUUGAGACCAGCUUGGCCAACAUGGAGAAACUCUGUCUCUACUAAAAAUACAAAAGUAGCCGGGACUCUGAGGCAGAAGAAUUGCUUGAACCCAGGAGGAGGAGGUUGCAGUGAACCAAGAUUGUGCCAUUGCACUCCAGCCUAGGCAACAAGAGCGAAACUCCAUCUCAAAAAAAAAAAGAAAAAAGAAAAAAAAAA
rnacentral:lncRNA from 1 species